UGGGGAAUAUUGGACAAUGGGCGAAAGCCUGAUCCAGCCAUGCCGCGUGUGUGAAGAAGGUCUUCGGAUUGUAAAGCACUUUAAGUUGGGAGGAAGGGCAGUUACCUAAUACGUGAUUGUUUUGACGUUACCGACAGAAUAAGCACCGGCUAACUCUGUG
rnacentral:rRNA from 1 species